UGGCGGCGUGCCUAUACAUGCAAGUCGAACGAACUCUGGUAUUGAUUGGUGCUUGCAUCAUGAUUUACAUUUGAGUGAGUGGCGAACUGGUGAGUAACACGUGGGAAACCUGCCCAGAAGCGGGGGAUAACACCUGGAAACAGAUGCUAAUACCGCAUAACAACUUGGACCGCAUGGUCCGAGCUUGAAAGAUGGCUUCGGCUAUCACUUUUGGAUGGUCCCGCGGCGUAUUAGCUAGAUGGUGGGGUAACGGCUCACCAUGGCAAUGAUACGUAGCCGACCUGAGAGGGUAAUCGGCCACAUUGGGACUGAGACACGGCCCAAACUCCUACGGGAGGCAGCAGUAGGGAAUCUUCCACAAUGGACGAAAGUCUGAUGGAGCAACGCCGCGUGAGUGAAGAAGGGUUUCGGCUCGUAAAACUCUGUUGUUAAAGAAGAACAUAUCUGAGAGUAACUGUUCAGGUAUUGACGGUAUUUAACCAGAAAGCCACGGCUAACUACGUGCCAGCAGCCGCGGUAAUACGUAGGUGGCAAGCGUUGUCCGGAUUUAUUGGGCGUAAAGCGAGCGCAGGCGGUUUUUUAAGUCUGAUGUGAAAGCCUUCGGCUCAACCGAAGAAGUGCAUCGGAAACUGGGAAACUUGAGUGCAGAAGAGGACAGUGGAACUCCAUGUGUAGCGGUGAAAUGCGUAGAUAUAUGGAAGAACACCAGUGGCGAAGGCGGCUGUCUGGUCUGUAACUGACGCUGAGGCUCGAAAGUAUGGGUAGCAAACAGGAUUAGAUACCCUGGUAGUCCAUACCGUAAACGAUGAAUGCUAAGUGUUGGAGGGUUUCCGCCCUUCAGUGCUGCAGCUAACGCAUUAAGCAUUCCGCCUGGGGAGUACGGCCGCAAGGCUGAAACUCAAAGGAAUUGACGGGGGCCCGCACAAGCGGUGGAGCAUGUGGUUUAAUUCGAAGCUACGCGAAGAACCUUACCAGGUCUUGACAUACUAUGCAAAUCUAAGAGAUUAGACGUUCCCUUCGGGGACAUGGAUACAGGUGGUGCAUGGUUGUCGUCAGCUCGUGUCGUGAGAUGUUGGGUUAAGUCCCGCAACGAGCGCAACCCUUAUUAUCAGUUGCCAGCAUUAAGUUGGGCACUCUGGUGAGACUGCCGGUGACAAACCGGAGGAAGGUGGGGAUGACGUCAAAUCAUCAUGCCCCUUAUGACCUGGGCUACACACGUGCUACAAUGGAUGGUACAACGAGUUGCGAACUCGCGAGAGUAAGCUAAUCUCUUAAAGCCAUUCUCAGUUCGGAUUGUAGGCUGCAACUCGCCUACAUGAAGUCGGAAUCGCUAGUAAUCGCGGAUCAGCAUGCCGCGGUGAAUACGUUCCCGGGCCUUGUACACACCGCCCGUCACACCAUGAGAGUUUGUAACACCCAAAGUCGGUGGGGUAACCUUUUAGGAACCAGCCGCCUAA
rnacentral:rRNA from 1 species